UGGGGAAUUUUGCGCAAUGGGGGAAACCCUGACGCAGCAACGCCGCGUGGAGGAUGAAGUCUCUUGGGACGUAAACUCCUUUCGAUAGGGACGAUAAUGACGGUACCUAUAGAAGAAGCCCCGGCUAACUUCGUGCCAGCAGCCGCGGUAAUACGAGGGGGGCAAGCGUUGUUCGGAAUUAUUGGGCGUAAAGGGCGCGUAGGCGGUUUGGCAAGUUUGGUGUGAAAUCUUCGGGCUCAACUCGAAGUCUGCACCGAAAACUGCCGGGCUUGAGUAUGGGAGAGGUGAGUGGAAUUUCCGGUGUAGCGGUGAAAUGCGUAGAUAUCGGAAGGAACACCUGUGGCGAAAGCGGCUCACUGGACCAUUACUGACGCUGAGGCGCGAAAGCUAGGGGAGCAAACAGG
rnacentral:rRNA from 2 species